rnacentral:rRNA from 1 species
GAGUGCCUACGGGAGGCAGCAGUGGGGGAUAUUGCACAAUGGGGGAAACCCUGAUGCAGCGACGCCGCGUGGGCGAAGAAGUAUUUCGGUAUGUAAAGCCCUAUCAGCAGGGAAGAAGAAAUGACGGUACCUGAGUAAGAAGCACCGGCUAAAUACGUGCCAGCAGCCGCGGUAAUACGUAUGGUGCAAGCGUUAUCCGGAUUUACUGGGUGUAAAGGGAGCGCAGGCGGCACGGCAAGCCUGAUGUGAAAACCCGGGGCUCAACUCCGGGAGUGCAUUGGAAACUGUUGAUCUAGAGUGUCGGG